CUUACUCUGUGCACUGUAUAGACAAACAGAUAUUAAAUGUUGAAAAUAUGUAUUUUGUGUCAAUAUUAACAAAAAGGUAAAUAAAAGUUAAGAAGUAUACAUUUGGAUAAGCUAUUCUUGUUUUAAUAGGUACAUUGUCGAAUAUUAUUAGCACAUAUGUUUUUUGGAGAUGUUAAUUUCUAAUUCUUAUCUUUAACAAUAGAUGUCUGCCACCUUGAGAAGACUGGUAACCUACCUGUGACUCCUCGAUUGAUCCUGCUUGGUCCAAGUGAUACUCAAGGGCAGUGGAUGAAACAAUGGAUGAUCAGCUUGGAGGGCAGAAUAAUCUGCGAGGGUGUGCAACCAACCUUUCUCACUGGACUUGCUGCUUUGUUUUCACUGUAUUACAUCUUCAACCUGCAAUAUCAAGAGGAAGCAGCAUCCACACUGGAAUUCCUUCAAAGACAAUUUGUUGGAAUAAAUCCGGAAAAAGGGACCAAGGCUGCAAAAGGAAAAGUGACAUCUAAAAAGACUGGGAAAACUGUUCAAAAGAAGACAAUGACAGUCAAUCUGAAAGUGUCAAAUCUUUUAAAAAGAUUGAUGGACUCUGAGUGGCACUUUAUUUAAAAUGUUUUUUGUUUUACAGUGGU